GACGAACGCUGGCGGCGUGCUUAACACAUGCAAGUCGAACGGAAAGGCCCUGCUUUUGUGGGGUGCUCGAGUGGCGAACGGGUGAGUAACACGUGAGUAACCUGCCCUUGACUUUGGGAUAACUUCAGGAAACUGGGGCUAAUACCGGAUAGGAGCUCCUGCUGCAUGGUGGGGGUUGGAAAGUUUCGGCGGUUGGGGAUGGACUCGCGGCUUAUCAGCUUGUUGGUGGGGUAGUGGCUUACCAAGGCUUUGACGGGUUGCCGGCCUGAGAGGGUGACCGGCCACAUUGGGACUGAGAUACGGCCCAGACUCCUACGGGAGGCAGCAGUGGGGAAUAUUGCACAAUGGGCGGAAGCCUGAUGCAGCAACGCCGCGUGCGGGAUGACGGCCUUCGGGUUGUAAACCGCUUUCGCCUGUGACGAAGCGUGAGUGACGGUAAUGGGUAAAGAAACACCGGCUAACUACGU
rnacentral:rRNA from 1 species